CGAACGGGUGAGUAAUGCGUGACCAACCUGCCCCAUGCUCCAGAAUAGCUCUUGGAAACAGGUGGUAAUGCUGGAUGCUCCAACUUGACGCAUGUCUUGUUGGGAAAGUGUUUAGUGGCAUGGGAUGGGGUCGCGUCCUAUCAGCUUGUAGGCGGGGUAAUGGCCCACCUAGGCUUCGACGGGUAGCCGGCCUGAGAGGGCGGACGGCCACAUUGGGACUGAGAUACGGCCCAGACUCCUACGGGAGGCAGCGUC
rnacentral:rRNA from 1 species